CGGCGGCGGGGCAGCCAGAAGACCGCGCCGGGCAGCGGAGGAGGCGCUGCGGCUGCGGCCCAGGGCACCUCCCCCCGGCUUCCCGAACCCUGCCCGGUCCCACCCGAGGGGGAGGAUGGACAGCACAGCGGCGCUCUGAGCCUCUCCGGAAGAUCCCCGGCUCCCCGCUUUACCACCCCACUGACCUGAGGAAGCCCCCCGCCGCGCCCCUCCGGGUCUCCAUCUCCAGAGCCUGGCUGAGCCAAAAAGCGAGCAAUGGCGGAAAGCCUGCGGAGGCUGGUCUCCAACGAAUCUUUACGGGUGUUGCAGGAAAAGUUGGAGUCCUGGAUGAAGGAAUACAACAACAACUCAUGUGAUCAGAAUCUAAAUCUCUGCCUUGAGCUCAUUGAACAAGUGGCCAAAAUCCAGGGACAACUCUUUGGGAUCCUCACUACAGCAGCCCAAGAAGGAGGACAUAAUGAGGGUGUGGAAACCAUCAAGUCCCGCCUUCUGCCUUGGUUGGAGGCUUCCUUCACUGCUGCUUCCAUGGGGAAACCUGUUGACAGCAAGGUGCCCUCUCUACAGGACACGUUCGACAGGGAGAGACAUAAAGACUUGGGUCCUCGGGAGCGAGAUUAUCAACUGGACUAUGAAUUAAACACAACCCGUGUUCAGGUUCAAGACGAGAAACCUGUGAGAAGAAGUCAAAAGCAGCUCUACAGUACAAUGAAUGAGAAUAGUCGGACUGAAACAGAAAGGAAUCUUGAAGAAAGCAAGAACAGAUCGGCCAUAUCCCUUUUGGCUGCAGAGGAGGAAAUAAAUCAGCUAAAAAAGCAGCUUAAAUCUCUUCAAGCCCAGGAGGAUGCCCGCCAUAGGAGCGCAGAGCCCAGGCGCUCUGAACAGCGGAAAUCUGAACCACGGGCCUCCAGGCGGAGCCCAGAAGAGCAGGACACAGAUGUGAUUUCUGAUUAUGAGAAACAGCUCCGAACCCUGAAGGAUGAGAUAGCUGUGCUGUCUGCUGAGAAAGCCAAUCUCCAAGGAAGAUCGGACAGGAGCCGGUCUCCUAGCCCAGACGCUCGCAGCCGCAGCCAGAGCCGCAGCCAGAGCCACAGCCAGAGCCGCAGCCAGAGUCGCAGCCAGAGUCGCAGCCAGAGUCGCAGCCGGUCUGCCAGUCCCUCCACCGCAGUCGCCAAAAUCAGGAGCCCGUCGCCGAACCGAGCCAAGCUGUCCAGCGUGGCGCGCAAAGCUGCCCUCCUUUCUCGCUUCAGCGAUGCCUAUUCCCAGGCCCGCCUGGACGCGCAAGGCUUGCUGCGGCGCUGCAUCGACAAAGCGGAUAUGGUGCAGCGAAUCAUCUACAUCGCCACCGUGGAGGCAUUCCAUGUAGCUAAAAUGGCCUUCAGACAUUUCAAGAUCCGUGUGCGGAAAUCACUGACCCCAUCCUAUGCAGCAUCGAAUGACUUUGAGAAUGUCGUCUCAGACUACAUCAUUUGUCAUCUUGAUCUCUAUGACUCCCAAAGCAGUGUUAACGAUGUGAUCCGAGCCAUGAAUGUCAACCCCAAGAUUUCGUUCCCUCCUGAGGUAGACUUCUGCCUCCUCAGCGACUUCAUCCAGGAGAUAUGCUGCAUCGCUUUUGCCAUGCAAUCCUUAGAACCACCUCUGGAUAUUGCAUUUGGGGCAGAUGGAGAGAUUUUUAAUGAUUGCAAGUACCGCCGCAGCUAUGACUCCGAUUUCACAGCUCCAUUGGUUUUGUAUCACGUGUGGCCUGCACUCAUGGAGAACGACUGUGUCAUCAUGAAGGGAGAAGCUGUCACCAGGAGAGGGGCUUUUGUACGCUGGCCUUGCAUAGUGACAAUUCAACCCAAGUGUUUGAUUCACAAGUUCGAGAACAUUUAUAAACCCAGAGAUUCUAUAAAGGAAAUUCAUAAAAAUGGAAUUCCGUACGGUCUGUAACUCGGUGUCGAAGCAGGAGUUUGAGUCCAGUCUGUCCUCGCAGCCGUAUUGGUCUAAGCACGUUAUCUCGAAGUCGGAGCCCUUCUCCAAUAAGAUGUACAUUGCCAAGGUUUUAAAGCCACCAGAUGUGUUCCUUUGUCACAGUCCACCAUCACAACCAACAUCUGCAGUCUCCAUCUACCCGCCUUAUCUGCCUCCGUCCUCACUUACGUUAAUGUGAAAAGGCAACUCUGUGUACCACUCCACAGAGACAGUUAAAUGUUUUGGCUUAGCACA